rnacentral:rRNA from 1 species
AGCAGUCGCCGCGGGAAUACGAAGGGGGCUAGCGUUGUUCGGAAUUACUGGGCGUAAAGCGCACGUAGGGGAUAUUUAAGUCAGGGGUGAAAUCCCAGAGCUCAACUCUGGAACUGCCUUUGAUACUGGGUAUCUUGAGUAUGGAAGAGGUGAGUGGAAUUCCGAGUGUAGAGGUGAAAUUCGUAGAUAUUCGGAGGAACACCAGUGGCGAAGGCGGCUCACUGGUCCAUUACUGACGCUGAGGUGCGAAAGCGUGGGGAGCAAACAGGAUUAGAUACCCCUGUAGUCCCUGUCUCUUAUACA